GGGGCUGUAAGCUCAGUGGUAGAGUGCUUGCCUUGCAUGUGUGAGUCCCUGGGUUCGAUCCCCAGCACCA
rnacentral:tRNA from 1 species